UUCGCGCUUAGUUUGAGAAAAUUCUUAUUUGAACUCUGUUUCUUCUGAACUCACUAAUUUCUUGAAAUUUCUGUACUGCUUUUGAAAGAAAAAUUUUCGAAUUGGUUCAUAUUUAUUUUGCUUCAUUUUCUUAUCUAAAGUUAUAACUGUGGGAGCAAAAUAUGGAUUCUUGUAGAAAGAGGCAUCGUGUAGCUGAUUCUAAGUACAGAUGCAAGGUUCAGCAGUUAUAUGGCUUGUUGAAAGAAGAAACACAUAGCCCAUAUCCUAAAGAUUUAGCAUUAGUUAAUGUUCAGAAGCAAAUUAGAAGUUUGGAAGAAAAACUUUUUAGUGAUCAUGGUUUAGGUAAUAAUGCAUAUAAAAAAGAAUUCCUAGAAAUACUUUGCCAAGAAGAAAUCAUAUGGAACAAUGUGAAAGAUGUGCAGAAAUGGUGGCUUCAGGUGCAAGAUUUGAUUACUAAGAUUGGCAGCCAUCAAAAUCCUGGUGCUCUACCUGCAGUUUACAAUAUAUGUCAUGAAAAGCCUGUUGAAAGUGCUAAUAUUAAUUAUUUUGUUGUUUCUGCUGAUCAAAAUGGUGAAAUUAAUGAUCUGUUGUCUCCUAGUAAAUGGACGAGAAAGUCAAAAUUCCGUUUUGCUGUCAAAAGUGUCCAGCACCAUAAAAGAAAUUCAAGAACAAGUGAAUGCCACAGUUCCACUGGAAAAUGUCCUACAGUCACUUAUAAUAACAACAUUUCUAAUGAUGACUAGGAUUGAUUUUUUUUUUUUUUUUUUUUUUAAGUUUAUCAUCAAAUAAGUCAUGAUCUAUAUCAGGUAUAUGAUAAAAGUAAUUUUAUUUAAAAUAUUUUUUUAAGUGUUUUAAAAGAAGUCUUUUCUAUAUUUAAAUAUGCAGCAACAAGCUGUUAAUGAGUGAAGUGUUGCUGUUGAUGGGGCCAACUAUGAAUAUGGAAACAGUCGAGUCGUGUAAAACCCUGACUCCAUCAUCUAGGACCUAGUUAGUUGAGUUUUAUUCUGAAAUAGGUUGGGACUCUUAUUUCCUGCAUUUGGCAUGCUACUGCUGUAUUAUUCUUCCUCUAGUAUAGCGAUCACAAAAUCAAAAUGAAUGCAUGGCAAAUGCAUGAUCUGAAAACUGUUGAUGCUGUAGAGACAUUGGGUUAUUCUGAAGCAGGAGACAUGAAAAAUCAGCAAUGCCCUCGCCGGGACUCGAACUACAUACCUCUCGAAUAUGCGGCAAGUGUGCUGGCCAUUACACCACAAAGGUAGGAGAAAUACCUUAUAUACUUCCUCUUUUAAAGGGCGACUGGAAAUUAGGAGACCCAGUUGCCAAAUCCUGGUAGUGGAGAAUCAGCAUCCACCACCUUUUUUUAGUUUGGGCGCCAUAGUAAAGACAUUAGGACAUUCUGAAGCAUUUGAAAAUGAGCUAUGUCCUCACUGGGGCUCGAACCACGAUCUUCUCGAAUAUGCGCCGAGUGUGCUGGCCAUUACACCAUGAAGGCGGGAGAAAUACCUUAUAAUACACCAGAAUUUUUUACCAAACUGAAAAUUAAAUAAAUUUUAGAUUUUUCUUACUACAUAUUUAUCAAUACACACAUAAACAACAAUAGUAAUAUCGCAAAAGAAAAAAUUCAGAUUUAUAUUUAUUUUCUAUCCAAAAUCUGAAGUUUGGUACCUGUAAGACAUUUUUGUUGUUAACAUUUCAUAAUUCAUAUGUAGUGACAGCUAAGUUUUUAGCAAACAUUUCUUUCAAACAAUUGUGUAUUUAAUUAAUCAUUAAACAGUUUAUUGUAAUUUACGGCCAAAAAUGUAUGAAAAUUUUCUAACCAAGUUUAGCUAAGUGGGACAAAACUUGAGAAUAAAUAGUAACAAGGUAUUCUCUCUUAUUUAUUAAAUUUUUCUUUGAUGCGUAAAUAAAAGUACCUAUAUCUGUAUAUAAAUAAUUAUAAACUUCUAUAUUUCUACUAUAGUUUGAAACUUGAUGUUAUUUGGGUUCUGGUAAAGUUUGUAGUCUUCAAGAGAAAUUACUAGAAACUAUCUUCAUUACAGAUUGUAAAUGCUUAUCAGUCAAUUGGGUUCUAUUCUUAUUAAUUUUCACCUUUGAAAAAAAAACUGUGUAUUUCCAAACAAAAUGAUUAUUGGUGCAAAAAUUACGAACUGAGCUUACUUAUUUUUGGGCAAGUAUGAUUAAAAUUUAGUCAAAUAUGUAUCUUCAAAUCUUUGAAUAAGAUUUAUAUCACACUGUAAAUAAAUUAACUCUUUUUAUGUAAAUUUACUGGCAUGUUAUACAUGCUCGUUUUUAACGGAAGUGAAAAUAAUAUAAACUCAAAUUUUAAAUAACUAAAAUCUUGAAAUCUUUGCUACAUAAUCUUCAAAUGUUUGCUCCAACAUCUUGAAAUAUUUGCAUCAAAUACAUUAUUCAGAUGUCUUUAGGGGCUGCGUAAAAUUGCUUCAAUGGCUGCAAAUUGAGACCACUGCUCUAGUAUGCUAGCACAAUAUAUAAGCCAUGGCACAUACGAGCUCCAUUACUUUGAAAGCAAACCGAGGCCUGUCACUUUUAAGAGCAUUAACAUGCGAGCCAGAUAAAUUCAGAAUGGCAUGUGAAGGGACUAAUAUAUAUGCCCUCCUUUGGAAAAAUGUUUUCCAAAUUUCUGUUAAUAAAAAAGGCUAAUGGAAGAAUAAUAAUCCUUUAAUAAAAAAAGGCUUCUUUAGAAUCCUUUUGAAUUGUGGCCCAGUUUCAUAUAAACUAAGUCAAAGAUCUUGUACAGAAUUCUAUAAAAUUUCAAAUGCAGGUUCUGUAGAGUUAUAAUUUAACUCUAUAGAGACACUAAUAAUUAUAUACAAAGACAUUUUACAGACAUGUAGAGACAUUUUACAGAGAUUAUGUACAUUUAUUUAUGUAGAGAUGGCUAUAAAAAUUCUUGCAAUUUCUUAGUCCCAUGUAUAGAAUCUUGUAAAAUGUGUAUGUGAUCAACUAAUAGAAUUCUACUGAAAAUAUCAGAUCCAGUGUACAGAAAGUCAGGCCAUAAUUCUAAAGAACUCUAAGCAAGUUUCCUUGUGGCAUUAUGCUUGUGUUUUUCUAACAAAGCUUUAUUUAAUUUACAGCUUUCCUUUUGCCUCAUUUCACCACAAGGCUUGCUCAUUCUAGAGUUUAUAUAGAUUUCAGUAGUAAGCGGUGCUACCAUACAGUGAGAGGAACAGCACACUGCCAAUGUAUAUAAGAGGUUUCUUAGUGAGUAACCACUUUCUCGCAUCAACACAAAAUAAACUUUAUUUGGUGUUAACUGGCUGUUUCUUCAUACAUUUAGGUUUCUGGAAAUAAUAAAGCUACUGGAAAGUUCCUUACCGGUUCCAUAUUAUAAAAGUUUUACUUCAUAAGCUUUUAAAAAUGUUAAAAAUAUCUGUUACGUUUUUAUGCAGUUUUGUAAGUUUUAAGUAUUUUAUAUUAUGGUUUUAAGUUUUAAAUGUUUUAAUGCAUUUGUUUUACGUAUUUAAUAUUGUGUUUUUUCAUGCCAUCUCUUCAAAUGAGUAGAGUUCUGAGGAAAUGCCACAGUGAGAGAAUUUGGGUAUGAAAUUUAAAAACCUAUUGUUAUAAUAAUAAUGUUUUUAAGGCUGAACAUUAUAUAUAAGUGUUUAACCUUUAAAAUACAUUAUUUUCUCCAGGACUUUGAAGAGCUAUUUCUAAUUUUUUUUUUUUUUUUUUUUUUUUUUUUUUUUUUUUUUUUUUUUUUUGUUAUGAAAUGUUUACAUAUUACUUAGGUUCAAAGAAAAGUCCUUGUGCAAUAAUUUGAUUUCAUAAUGAACUCUCUUAGACUACGCAUUAGGUGUAUCUGUAGUAAUUGUACAUAUUGAGUUGAAGUAAAGUGAUUGAAAUGCAACCUACUGAAAAAUUAGGCAAGUUAUUUAGUGACUUUGUGUAAUAAAGUACAACUAGGUGAAUUGUAAAGUUUACACUUUCAUCUAAGUACAACAUCUAAGUAUGAAUGUAUUUAAUGAACAAUAAUUUCCAGCUAUACACUAAAGAAUAUAAAACGAUUAUAGAAUAGUUUGUUCUGAUAAUAAAAUAUAGUUAAAUUCCCAAUAUAACUGAAUGUUAUUUCUAUUACAUUGAUAAAUUCUAUAUUUGUUAAAAAUUUGCCACAUGCAUUUGUGCAAUCCCCAAGCCUCGUUUUUUUGUCUCUGUUCAAGUCUGGAAUGACAAAAAGCAUAUAAGACAGAGUCUUAAUUCUUGGUAAUUGGAUGCUGCUGCAUAAUUUUGUGAUUGGUAAUUUUUCUUCUGUCUGAUAUCAUUGGAGAUUUAGAUUAAAUCAUUUUCAUGAUUUUUUGCCAGAAGGUGCUACAGUCUAGCUAUUCAAUCUAAUAGUCUAAAAUAGUUCAUUUCAAAGAAAAAGAAGUGUAUGUUUCUUUAGAACUUAAAAAUUAAUAAUAAUAAUCAUUAGUAAUAUAAUAAUUAGUGUUCUUUAGAACUUGGAUUUUCACUCAAAAUUCUUUUUAUGUGUGUUCUAAAAAAAAAAAAAAAAAAAAAAAAAGUGCUUUGUGAUAAUGGGGUUAUUUUUAAAAAAAGGCUGCAUAUCUCCUUUUAUGUUCUUGAAGCGAAAAUCUUCAAAUACUUAGUAGUCACUUUAUAAGCUGUCCUCUUAUCACAAGAAAAAUUUUUGGUAGAUCAUGAAAAUUUUUUGUUUUGUUAUAUAGUUAUGAUUACUUAUCAUGAUUAAUUUGUUAUUAAAUAUUAGCUAAUUGCUAUUAAUUUAUAUAUUAAAAGUUAAAAGAUUGCUCUUAUUAUUAUGGGAGAAAAUGUCAACCACAAAGAUAAAUACACUGUGUGGAAGGAAAUAAUAAAGGCAAAGAAUAAAAUUACUUACCAUAAUUUAAAAUAUGCCAUUUUUGUACUGUAAAAUAUAAUUGUUUGUUAUCAUAUUUAGAAUAAAAAACUGGAUCAUAGUUUCAUAA